rnacentral:rRNA from 2 species
GGGUUGUGAGGUUAAGCGACUAAGCGUACACGGUGGAUGCCCUGGCAGUCAGAGGCGAUGAAGGGCGUGCUAAUCUGCGAUAAGCGCCGGUAAGGUGAUAUGAACCGUUAUAACCGGCGAUACCCGAAUGGGGAAACCCAGUGUGACUCGUCACACUAUCAUUAACUGAAUCCAUAGGUUAAUGAGGCGAACCGGGGGAACUGAAACAUCUAAGUACCCCGAGGAAAAGAAAUCAACCGAGAUUCCCCCAGUAGCGGCGAGCGAACGGGGAGGAGCCCAGAGCCUGAAUCAGCAUGUGUGUUAGUGGAAGCGUCUGGAAAGGCGCGCGAUACAGGGUGACAGCCCCGUACACAAAAGCGCAUGUGCUGUGAGCUCGAUGAGUAGGGCGGGACACGUGGUAUCCUGUCUGAAUAUGGGGGGACCAUCCUCCAAGGCUAAAUACUCCUGACUGACCGAUAGUGAACCAGUACCGUGAGGGAAAGGCGAAAAGAACCCCGGCGAGGGGAGUGAAAAAGAACCUGAAACCGUGUACGUACAAGCAGUGGGAGCACAGGUUUACCUGUGUGACUGCGUACC